rnacentral:rRNA from 1 species
UACGUAGGGUGCGAGCGUUAAUCGGAAUUACUGGGCGUAAAGCGUGCGCAGGCGGUUUGGUAAGCCAGAUGUGAAAUCCCCGGGCUUAACCUGGGAAUGGCAUUUGGGACUGCAAGGCUGGAGUGCGGCAGAGGAGACUGGAAUUCCUGGUGUAGCAGUGAAAUGCGUAGAUAUCAGGAGGAACACCGAUGGCGAAGGCAGGUCUCUGGGCUGACACUGACGCUCAUGCACGAAAGCGUGGGGAGCAAACAGG